AACAAACCAAAUGAAUAAAUGUCACAUGAUUUGUUCCAGCAAAAUGAAAAAAUGAAAGAAAUAAAAAAAGCCCACUAAGUCGAAAACUUGAAAUCAAGUGACUUAGGAAAAAAUUAGGGCAUCCUGGUGGACUGCAAACUCGAAAAAUUAGACUAGGCAAAAAUUAGGGAAAACAAAAAGAACAAAAGAAGAAUCAAAAGGAAAAAUCCUCAGCAAGAACAAAUUCGUGUGACUACAAAAAAAACAAAAGGUGGGU
rnacentral:lncRNA from 1 species